AAUGAGAUGCCUGAUUAAAAGGAUUAUUAUGAUAUAAUAAAUCAAGAAUAUAAUUUAUUCUCUCAUUA
rnacentral:tRNA from 1 species